rnacentral:tRNA from 1 species
UCCUUGCUGGCUCAGACAGUAAAGAAUCUGCCUGCAAUGCAGGAGACCCGGGUUCAAUCCCUGGGUCAGAAA